rnacentral:sRNA from 1 species
GUAAGCCGAAUCCAACUCAGGUACGGGGAAACCGUUUAUUGGGGUGAAGUUCAUGAAAAUGAGCCGGGUCUAUUCUUCUUCCCGAACCCGUCAGCUAACCUCGGAGGCUAGUAGAGG